GUCGCGAUAAGAAUGAAAAGGCAAGUUCGUCGGGUGACUUCCCCGGAGGUACUGGUUCAAAUCCAGUUCGUGACA
rfam:Macleaya cordata isolate BLH2017 scaffold6087, whole genome shotgun sequence.